GCUGGGGAUAACAUUUGGAAACAGAUGCUAAUACCGAAUAAAACUUAGUGUCGCAUGACAAAAAGUUAAAAGGCGCUUCGGCGUCACCUAGAGAUGGAUCCGCGGUGCAUUAGUUAGUUGGUGGGGUAAAGGCCUACCAAGACAAUGAUGCAUAGCCGAGUUGAGAGACUGAUCGGCCACAUUGGGACUGAGACACGGCCCAAACUCCUACGGGAGGCUGCAGUAGGGAAUCUUCCACAAUGGGCGAAAGCCUGAUGGAGCAACGCCGCGUGUGUGAUGAAGGCUUUCGGGUCGUAAAGCACUGUUGUAUGGGAAGAACAGCUAGAAUAGGAAAUGAUUUUAGUUUGACGGUACCAUACCAGAAAGGGACGGCUAAAUACGUGCCAGCAGCCGCGGUAAUACGUAUGUCCCGAGCGUUAUCCGGAUUUAUUGGGCGUAAAGCGAGCGCAGACGGUUUAUUAAGUCUGAUGUGAAAGCCCGGAGCUCAACUCCGGAAUGGCAUUGGAAACUGGUUAACUUGAGUGCAGUAGAGGUAAGUGGAACUCCAUGUGUAGCGGUGGAAUGCGUAGAUAUAUGGAAGAACACCA
rnacentral:rRNA from 1 species